ACGAACCGUGCGAGCGUUGUUCGGAAUCAUUGGGCUUAAAGGGCGCGUAGGCGGGCUGCCGAGUCCGGGGUGAAAUCCUCCAGCUUAACUGGGGAACUGCCCCGGAUACUGGAAGUCUCGAGGGGGGUAGGGGCAUGCGGAACUGCGGGUGGAGCGGUGAAAUGCGUUGAUAUCCAGAGGAACUCCGGUGGCGAAGGCGGCGUGCUGGACCCUUUCUGACGCUGAGGCGCGAAAGCGAGGGGAGCAAACGGG
rnacentral:rRNA from 1 species